AUGCAAGUCGAGCGGUAGCACAGGGGAGCUUGCUCCUUGGGUGACGAGCGGCGGACGGGUGAGUAAUGUCUGGGAAACUGCCUGAUGGAGGGGGAUAACUACUGGAAACGGUAGCUAAUACCGCAUAACGUCGCAAGACCAAAGAGGGGGACCUUCGGGCCUCUUGCCAUCGGAUGUGCCCAGAUGGGAUUAGCUAGUAGGUGAGGUAAUGGCUCACCUAGGCGACGAUCCCUAGCUGGUCUGAGAGGAUGACCAGCCACACUGGAACUGAGACACGGUCCAGACUCCUACGGGAGGCAGCAGUGGGGAAUAUUGCACAAUGGGCGCAAGCCUGAUGCAGCCAUGCCGCGUGUGUGAAGAAGGCCUUCGGGUUGUAAAGCACUUUCAGCGGGGAGGAAGGGAGGCAGGCUUAAUACGUCUGGUUUCAUUGACGUUACCCGCAGAAGAAGCACCGGGCUAACUCCGUGCCAGCAGCCGCGGUAAUACGGAGGGUGCAAGCGUUAAUCGGAAUGACUGGGCGUAAAGCGCACGCAGGCGGUCUGUUAAGUUGGAUGUGAAAUCCCCGGGCUUAACCUUGGGAACUGCAUUCAAAACUGACAGGCUAGAGUCUCGUAGAGGGGGGUAGAAUUCCAGGUGUAGCGGUGAAAUGCGUAGAGAUCUGGAGGAAUACCGGUGGCGAAGGCGGCCCCCUGGACGAAGACUGACGCUCAGGUGCGAAAGCGUGGGGAGCAAACAGGAUUAGAUACCCUGGUAGUCCACGCUGUAAACGAUGUCGAUUUGGAGGUUGUGGUCUUGAACCGUGGCUUCCGGAGCUAACGCGUUAAAUCGACCGCCUGGGGAGUACGGCCCGCAAGGUUAAAACUCAAAUGAAUUGACGGGGGCCCGCACAAGCGGUGGAGCAUGUGGUUUAAUUCGAUGCAACGCGAAGAACCUUACCUACUCUUGACAUCCAGAGAAGCCUGCAGAGAUGCGGGUGUGCCUUCGGGAGCUCUGAGACAGGUGCUGCAUGGCUGUCGUCAGCUCGUGUUGUGAAAUGUUGGGUUAAGUCCCGCAACGAGCGCAACCCUUAUCCUUUGUUGCCAGCACUUCGGGUGGGAACUCAAGGGAGACUGCCGGUGAUAAACCGGAGGAAGGUGGGGAUGACGUCAAGUCAUCAUGGCCCUUACGAGUAGGGCUACACACGUGCUACAAUGGCGUAUACAAAGAGAAGCGACCUCGCGAGAGCAAGCGGACCUCAUAAAGUACGUCGUAGUCCGGAUUGGAGUCUGCAACUCGACUCCAUGAAGUCGGAAUCGCUAGUAAUCGUAGAUCAGAAUGCUACGGUGAAUACGUUCCCGGGCCUUGUACACACCGCCCGUCACACCAUGGGAGUGGGUUGCAAAAGAAGUAGGUAGCUUAACCUUCGGGAGGGCGC
rnacentral:rRNA from 1 species